GAAAAUUCAGUUCACCAAAUAUGGACCCGUAGCAGAUUUGCAGGUUGAUAUUCAGCAGAGGAGUUAAGAGGCCCUCUGACCAGAGAAUGAACCUUUAAGGGAGAACCCUGACCAAAGGUUGGACCUUCAAGUGGGAACUAAAACUGCAGGAAAAGCUACAACGGAGGAUGAGAGUUGCAGUUGAGGACUGAUCUAAUUUGAAGUGCGCAGAAUACCUUUUAACGUUUUGCAGGAGAUCAAAGAGAAAGUUGGGAUUCAGAAACCAUCUGGGACUGCGGUUUGAGCUGUCAAAACUGAACAGUUGGCAGG